CCUACGGGGGGCUGUAGUGGGGAAUAUUGGACAAUGGGGGCAACCCUGAUCCAGCCAUGCCGCGUGUGUGAAGAAGGCCCUCGGGUUGUAAAGCACUUUCAGUGAGGAAGAACGCCUGGUGGUUAAUACCCAUCAGGAAAGACAUCACUCACAGAAGAAGCACCGGCUAACUCCGUGCCAGCAGCCGCGGUAAUACGGAGGGUGCGAGCGUUAAUCGGAAUUACUGGGCGUAAAGCGCGCGUAGGUGGCUUGAUAAGCCGGUUGUGAAAGCCCCGGGCUCAACCUGGGAACGGCAUCCGGAACUGUCAAGCUAGAGUGCAGGAGAGGAAGGUAGAAUUCCCGGUGUAGCGGUGAAAUGCGUAGAGAUCGGGAGGAAUACCAGUGGCGAAGGCGGCCUUCUGGACUGACACUGACACUGAGGUGCGAAAGCGUGGGUAGCAAACAGGAUUAGAUACCCUGGUAGUC
rnacentral:rRNA from 1 species